UGAAUACGAGACGCUAAGGCGUCGAAGUAGUGUAUGUCAUACUUCCAAGAAAAGCUUGCACUGUCAUAGAUAAAAAACGCCUGUACCAUAACCGACACAGGUGGGUAGGUAGAGUAUACUAAGGGGCGCGAGAUAACUCUCUCUAAGGAACUCGGCAAAAUAACUCCGUAUCUUCGGGAGAAGGAGUGCCUUAUUCGUAAGGUUGCAAUAACAAGAUCCAAGCAACUGUUUAUCAAAAACACAGGUCUCCGCUAAGUCGUAAGACGAUGUAUGGGGGCUGACGCCUGCCCAGUGCCAGAAGGUUAAAGAAGUUGGUUAGCAAUUGCGAAGCUGAUAACUGAAGCCCUGGUGAACGGCGGCCGUAACGAUAACGGUCCUAAGGUAGCGAAAUUCCUUGUCGGGUAAGUUCCGACCCGCACGAAAGGCGUAAUGAUUUGGAUACUGUCUCGGAGAGGGGCUCGGUGAAAUAGACUUGUCUGUGAAGAUGCGGACUACCUGCACCAGGACAGAAAGACCCUAUGAAGCUUUACUGUAACUUGAAAUUGAAAUUGGACUUUAUUCGCGCAGUAUAGGUGGGAGGCGUUGAUUAUAAUCUUGUGGGAUUAUUGGAGCCAUCAGUGAGAUACCACUCUUGUAAUGUUAGAUUUCUAACUUUGAAUCAUUAUCUGGUCAAAGAACAGUUUCAGGCGGGCAGUUUGACUGGGGCGGUCGCCUCCUAAACGGUAACGGAGGCGUACAAAGGUUUCCUCUGAACGGUUAGAAAUCGUAUCUAGAGUGUAAAGGCAUAAGGAAGCUUGACUGUGAGACCUACAAGUCGAGCAGGGACGAAAGUCGGUCUUAGUGAUCUGACGGUACUGAGUGGAAAGGCCGUCACUCAACGGAUAAAAGUUACUCUAGGGAUAACAGGCUGAUCUCCCCCAAGAGUUCACAUCGACGGGGAGGUUUGGCACCUCGAUGUCGGCUCAUCGCAUCCUGGGGCGGUAGUACGUCCCAAGGGUUGGGCUGUUCGCCCAUGAAAGCGGUACGCGAGCUGGGUUCAGAACGUCGUGAGACAGUUCAGUCCAUAUCCGGUGUAGGCGUUAGAAUAUUGAGAGGAGCCUUCUUUAGUACGAGAGGACCGAGAAGGACAUACCUCUGGUGUACCAGUUAUCGUGCCAACGGUAAACGCUGGGUAGCUAUGUAUGGAGUGGAUAACCGCUGAAAGCAUCUAAGUGGGAAGCCCACCUCAAGAUAAGUA
rnacentral:rRNA from 1 species